UACGAAGGGGGCUAGCGUUGUUCGGAAUUACUGGGCGUAAAGCGCGCGCAGGUGGUCUUUCAAGUCAGUGGCGAAAGCCCGGAGCUCAACUCCGGAAAUGCCAUUGAAACUGUGAGACUUGAGGACGAGAGAGGUGAGUGUAAUUCCCAGUGUAGAGGUGAAAUUCGUAGAUAUUGGGAAGAACACCGGUGGCGAAGGCGACUUUCUGGUCUGUAACUGACGCUGAGGCGCGAAAGCGUGGGGAGCAAACAGG
rnacentral:rRNA from 1 species